CGCGGCCUAUCAGCUUGUUGGUGAGGUAAUGGCUCACCAAGGCGACGACGGGUAGCCGGCCUGAGAGGGUGACCGGCCACACUGGGACUGAGACACGGCCCAGACUCCUACGGGAGGCAGCAGUGGGGAAUAUUGCACAAUGGGCGAAAGCCUGAUGCAGCGACGCCGCGUGCGGGAUGACGGCCUUCGGGUUGUAAACCGCUUUCAGCAGGGAAGAAGCGCAAGUGACGGUACCUGCAGAAGAAGCGCCGGCUAACUACGUGCCAGCAGCCGCGGUAAUACGUAGGGCGCGAGCGUUAUCCGGAAUUAUUGGGCGUAAAGAGCUCGUAGGCGGUUUGUCACGUCUGCUGUGAAAGCCCGGGGCUCAACCCCGGGUGUGCAGUGGGUGCGGGCAGACUAGAGUGCAGUAGGGGAGACUGGAAUUCCUGGUGUAGCGGUGAAAUGCGCAGAUAUCAGGAGGAACACCGAUGGCGAAGGCAGGUCUCUGGGCUGUUACUGACGCUGAGGAGCGAAAGCAUGGGGAGCGCACAGGAUUAGAUACCCUGAUAGUCCAUGCCGUAAACGUUGGGCACUAGGUGUGGGGAACAUUCCACGUUUUCCGCGCCGUAGCUAACGCAUUAAGUGCCCCGCCUGGGGAGUACGG
rnacentral:rRNA from 1 species